rnacentral:pre_miRNA from 1 species
AGGCCAUCUUCGAUAGCCAAGGAUGAUUUGCCUGUGAAACUCCCUUGGCAGCCGAGCUCUCUGCCACAGAGAGCGGCGUCCGGCGGUUCCAUGGGCAAGUCACCCUGGCUACCCGAGUACCUCU